rfam:Myotis brandtii contig266094, whole genome shotgun sequence.
GCCAAUGUGGCUCAGUGCUUAGAGCAUCGACCUCCACACUGAAGGGUCGCAGGUUUGAUUCCUGGUCAAUGGCA